rnacentral:rRNA from 1 species
CCUACGGGAGGCAGCAGUGGGGAAUUUUGGACAAUGGGGGCAACCCUGAUCCAGCCAUUCCGCGUGAGUGAAGAAGGCCUUCGGGUUGUAAAGCUCUUUUGUCCGGAACGAAACGGGCGACGUGAAUAUCGUCGUCUACUGACGGUACCGGAAGAAUAAGCACCGGCUAACUACGUGCCAGCAGCCGCGGUAAUACGUAGGGUGCGAGCGUUAAUCGGAAUUACUGGGCGUAAAGCGUGCGCAGGCGGUUUUGUAAGCCAGAUGUGAAAUCCCCGGGCUUAACCUGGGAAUGGCAUUUGGGACUGCAAGGCUGGAGUGCGGCAGAGGAGACUGGAAUUCCUGGUGUAGCAGUGAAAUGCGUAGAUAUCAGGAGGAACACCGAUGGCGAAGGCAGGUCUCUGGGCUGACACUGACGCUCAUGCACGAAAGCGUGGGGAGCA